rnacentral:rRNA from 1 species
CUACGGGUGGCUCCAGUGGGGAAUAUUGGACAAUGGGCGCAAGCCUGAUCCAGCAAUACCGCGUGUGUGAAGAAGGCCCGAGGGUUGUAAAGCACUUUCAGUAGGGAGGAUUGAUUUUACGGAUAAUACCCGUGAAGUUUGACGUUACCUACAGAAGAAGCACCGGCUAACUCAGUGCCAGCAGCCGCGGUAAUACUGAGGGUGCAAGCGUUAAUCGGAAUUACUGGGCGUAAAGCGCGCGUAGGUGGUUAGAUCAGUUGGGUGUGAAAGCCCCGGGCUCAACCUGGGAACAGCAUUCAAUACUGUCUAGCUAGAGUACGGUAGAGGGAAGUGGAAUUCCGCAUGUAGCGGUGAAAUGCGUAGAGAUGCGGAGGAACACCAGUGGCGAAGGCGACUUCCUGGACCGAUACUGACACUGAGGUGCGAAAGCGUGGGGAGCAAACAGGAUUAGAUACCCUCGUAGUC